rnacentral:ncRNA from 1 species
CCUUAUCAAGAGCGGCGGAGGGAAUAGGCCCUUUGAAGCCCGGCAACCUGGAGCUGUUAUUUAUACAUGACAGCAGGCAAGGUGCUACAUCCUACAGAAUAAUUCUGAAAGAUGAGG